UACGUAGGGGCCGAGCGUUGUCCGGAUUCAUUGGGCGUAAAGAGCUCGUAGGCGGCUAUUCAAGUCGGACGUGAAAUCUCGGAGCUCAACUCCGAAACUGCGUUCGAUACUGGGUAGCUAGAGUCUGGUAGGGGGAUCUGGAAUUCCUGGUGUAGCGGUGGAAUGCGCAGAUAUCAGGAGGAACACCGGUGGCGAAGGCGGGUCUCUGGGCAGUAACUGACGCUGAGGAGCGAAAGCGUGGGGAGCGAACAGG
rnacentral:rRNA from 1 species